rnacentral:lncRNA from 1 species
ACUUCUAUGGUACUGGGAAUCGGAUCCAGUGACCUCUGUUUUGUUUCGGAGCCCACCGGCUGCCUCAAAAUCUGUAGGAGAAAGGAAUGACAACGUUCUAGGCCAGUUGUUCGCAGUGUGUGGUUCUGGGACCAGCGGCAUCAGCAACACCGGAGAUACUGUUAAAAUGACAAAUUCUCGGGCCCUACCCCAAACCUGCAGAAUCAGAAACUUUGGAGUGAAGCGAGUUAUCUGAAUUUUAACCAGCGGGUAAUUCUGAUAAAGUUUGAAAACCACUGCCAUGGCUAUCGAUAUUCCCCCUACCCCCUUCCAAGUGUUCACUUUAACUGGUUCAGGAUAAUUAGGCGAAAAAUGAAAAUCUGUGUAUUAAUAAUACCUUACAUAGGACCAAAAUUAUUAUUAAAAAAAAAAUUUUUUUUUUGAGACGGAGUUUCGCUCUUGUUGCCCAGGCUAGAGUGCAAAGGCGCGAACUCGGUUACCUCAACCUCCGCCUCCCGGGUUCAAGCGAUUCUCCUGCCUCAGCCUCCCGAGUAGCUGGGAUUACAGGCAUGUGCCACCACGCCCGGCUAAGUUUGUAUUUUUAGUAGAGACGGGGUUUCUCCAUGUUGGUCAGGCUGGUCUCGAACUCCCGACCUCGGGUGAUCCGCCCGACUCGGCCUCCCAAAUUGCUGGGAUUACAGGCAUGAGCCACCGCGCCCGGCCCAAGGACCAAAAUUAUUAAUAAUACUGUUCACGGGCCAUUGGGUAUAGGAAUCAGGAUCAUAUAUGAUACUUUUUUUUUUUUUUUUUUUUUUUUGAGACGUAGUCUCGCUCUUGUCGCCCAGGCUGGAGUGCAGUGGCAUAAUCUUGGCUCACUGCAACCUCCGCCUCCCAGGUUCAGGCGAUUCUCCUGCCUCAGCCUCCUGAGUAGCUGAGAUUACAGGCGUCCGCCACCAUGCCUGGCUAAUUUUUGUAUUUUUUUAGUAGAGGCGGGGUUUCACCAUGUUGGCCAGGCUGGUCUCAAACUCCUGACCUCAUGUGACCCACCCGCCUCAGCCUCCCAAAGUGCUGGGAUUACAGGCGUGAGCCACCGUGCCUGGCCCAUAUAUGAUACCUUUUUGAAAACUCUGCCCACAUCUGUGCACUCAUUCACUCUUGGUUCAUUCCCAGCUAGUCUCAGAGCAGCCAAAGAGAUCAAUUACUGAGAUAAGGAUGUUGAAAUCUCCAACUAUAAUUGCGAAUUUGCUUCUCCUUUCAAUUCUAUCAGUUUGUGUCGUGUAUUUUGAAAUUAGGUAUGUAAACAUUUAGGAUUGUUACGUUCUCUUGCAUUAACCUCUACUAACCUCUAUAGCAUUAAGAAGUGGCCCUCUUUAUUCCUUUAUUCUUCUUUGUCUGCUUGGUCUGCUAUCAAUAUAACUAGCUUUCUUUUGAUUAAUGCUAGCAUAGUGUAUCUUUUUCAACCCAUUUUAAUCUAUU